rnacentral:rRNA from 1 species
CAAUAGCGUAUAUUAAAGUUGUUGCGGUUAAAAAGCUCGUAGUUGGAUUUCUGCUGAGAACGACCGGUCCGCCCUUUGGGUGUGUAUCUGGCUCUUUCUUGGCAUCUUCUUGGUGAACGUUGCUGCACUUGACUGUGUGGAGCGCUACCCAGGACUUUUACUUUGAGGAAAUUAGAGUGUUUCAAGCAGGCAUACGCCUUGAAUACAUUAGCAUGGAAUAAUAAGAUAGGACCUCGGUUCUAUUUUGUUGGUUUCUAGAGCUGAGGUAAUGAUUAAUAGGGAUAGUUGGGGGCAUUCGUAUUUAACUGUCAGGGGUGAAAUUCUUGGAUUUGUUAAAGACGGACUACUGCGAAAGCAUUUGCCAAGGAUGUUUUCAUUG